AGAACCUGAGGAGUCCCAUAAUAGGACGAAACGGCCGUCCAGUGU
rfam:Schistosoma rodhaini strain Burundi genome assembly, scaffold: SROB_scaffold0001099